GGCAGAGUGCCAGAGUGGUUAAUGGGUGUGACUCGAAUUUCGAAUUUCGAUCGCAAUCACAUGGCUUCGGCCGCAUGAGUUCAAAUCUCAUCUCUGUCG
rnacentral:tRNA from 1 species